AUGUGUGUGCAUGUCUUGUAUUCUCUGCCCCAGAGCUGGACCCCAAGGCUCUUCCUGACCAGAGUGGCUCCUGAGGGGAAACCGAGGCUGGAGGAGCUGGGCACAUGCCCAGCGUGUGUCUUCCAGCCAUUUGGCCUCAAAGCUCUGGUUCCUGAGGUCCUGGGGCCAGGCCUCUGGGGGUUCGGGGCCUCGGCGACCCAAGACCAGGGCGCUGUGGCCCCAGGCCGAGCGGUCCUUCCCUACAGCUGCCUCCCUGGAGCGUCGGUCCUCGGUCCAUCUCCCGCCCUCCUCUCCUCCUCUCAACUUUGCCCCCCUCCCCCUUCCUGGCAAGCAGAUCGCAAUCCAAACUUGUUGUUAACUUCUCCCCUGCAGUUGUCCGCCAGCCCUUCCAAGUUAAAUAUUACUCAUGGAGAUGAGAGCCCGCCGGGCAGUGCUGGGCCUGGAGGUGGAAUGGUCUGUGGAAGGUGCUGGGCAGAGGCCAAUGCCAGGCCUGCGGCCACAGGAUCCCUCCCUGAGGCGUCUGUGGGGCCGCCGGGUUGGGGCGAGGGUGGCAGGCCAGGCAGCCUGCGCCCCACGCCCGUGUCCUGCCAGCCUCUCACCCACCCUUUGAAAUUGGCUGUUUCCUUAACCUCCCUGCACUGUGGCCAGAGUGGGCUGGACAGUGGGCAGCGGGUCCCUGGGCAGGGCAGAGAGGAGCUGCUCAGGGACUUCAGGGGGGCUUGGGCUGGGCUGCACAGGCUCUCCUCUCGCCGGUCACGCCAGCCCAGUGCCAGGCUGGGGGCGGGACUGGGAACAAAAUGUUUAGGAAAAUGGCCUCAUCUGUUUCAAAUUGAUGCCUCUCCUCUCGCCCUCAGUUUUCCCAGCAGCGAAGUGGAGGCACCGCGUGCUGUGUGCUACACGUUCCUCUGCCUCUUGGGGAAGCCUGCCUCCACCCCACAGGGCGGCUGCUCCACUCCAGACUGUCAGGGAUGGGCUGUGGCCUUGGGGGCCUCCCAGGCUCAGAGCAAUGCCCCCCUCAAGCCCUCAUCCCUUGGGGGGAGCGAAGCUGGGAUGGACAACAGGCUCCAUGUCAUCUGCCCACACCCCACUCACACUCUUCCUCUCACUGCCCUGCCCUCCACCCCUUGGUGGACCAUGCUGGGACCAGGCGCACUUCUGCCUCAGGGCCUUUGCACCUGCUCUUCCUCUGCCCAGAAUGCUCACCCCUUUCCCAUCUCAGGGCUCUGCUGA
rnacentral:lncRNA from 1 species